CUAUUUCAAAUGACAAAGCAGUUGGCAUAACCAUCCUUGCAGAUGCACCGGAAGUAAAUUCAAUACAAUUAGAUUUUAUGAUAAGUAAAAUAAUGCAAAAGUAAUUGCCAGUGAUGAAAGAACGAGGUUAAAUUAAAGUGCCAUGGUCAAGGAGAAAAAUGUGCAGAAAAUGAGGAGCACACACGUCCAACAUGUUCCUGUAUGCAAUGCAAAACCAUGAACAGAAACAUGCCAACAUAAAAGUGAGAGUUACAACAACCCAAAUGAAAAUACUGGAACAAAAGUCGCAUCAACAAAGAGGAGGAAGGAAAAAGGUGGAGGAGGGGAAAGGGUAGGGAUCAGAUUUCCCUGCCAAGUGGAGAGUGUUUUCCUCUUAAUGCUCUAGAAGCUACCAUUAAAGCUCCACUUGACAAUCUGAAUUUCAUUCAGCUUAAUAUCAUAAUCUACUGCAAGAGUAUUAUAUAUCUGAAGCAGACAAGAAGAAACUUAAAUCAAGUUUAAAGAAGAGUAUGGUUAAUAUUUUAUAUAGGGG
rnacentral:misc_RNA from 1 species